ACGUUCGCCCUGCCAACGUCUCUCCGCGUGUGUGCGUGGCCGUGUGCCCGCGUGUACUGUACAUUCAUACGUUCGUUCAACGUACAACGAAUGUACGUGUGUUUACACAUUUUGCAGGAAAAAUAAGAUGUUUUUAUAUCACGUGCACGCUGAAGCAAAGAUUUGCAACGAAGCUGGAUACUGGGGUUGCUGAGGCGUGGGGGGUUGGUCGGGGACAGAUGGCAAACAGGAUCGAACAGGAACAGUCCGCGAAUCUGGAUUUAGAAAAAUCCAAUAAACGCGAUCGCCGGAUCGUGUCUGUUGAUAUUAUCCGGAUCCAGGAAACGUCGAGUAUCACAUUCGAAGAUAUAAUUUCCGUUCCUUCGACCGAUAACCGUGCGCUUUUGUUUUGGACGGCGAGCUGGAACGAUGGCACGUGAUUAUCCUUGUGUUCGUUGCUUCUUGGAAUGGCAAUUAGUGGAGAAUCGGUGAAUAGGCAGUAAUCGGAGAAGAAACACUGGCGAAUGGGGAGGGAGGUUAGCAGAGGCUGUCGGUGUACCCUCCGAGCGAUGCGCACGAACAGAGAGCGCAUGGGAAAUUAUGGGGAAUCGGGUGGCCUCGCAGGGGAUGCGUGUGCAUCGCUUCAGGGAAUUGGUUCAACGUCGAUGGACCUAGAAGUAUCAUCGAAAGACGCCCGCCUUGCCCGUGGGAAACUUCGCCCGCCCCAAUUACACCGGGGCAAAUCAGGAGGAGGAAGGCAUCGGUUUCCUCUCGAAAAAUCGAACGAGCCGGGCGACGGACUCUUCAAUCUCCGACACUUCGAAUGGAUGUACAUAUAAGUUCUGUCGUCAUAUACGAAAUUUUUGGGAUUUGAGUGGGUGACGUUGUAUAUUGGUGUUGGAUGUGGGUAUUGGUACUUUGGGGGUGAAUGUUUUAGGUAGCUGUGUCGAGAGUGGGCCUUUCGUAUUUUGAAUUGAACGCUGGGAAUGAAAGAUUUGAUUUUGAAUGACUUGAGAGAGCGGAGAGGAGUUUUAUACUUUUUAGUGGGUAUUUGAAAUGUUUAAUAGAUUAAGGAAAUUAGUUGUUAGCAUGGUUCGAAGUUUGUAGCAUUAGCUAGUUCAAUUAUUGGAAAUUUCAAUAAUUUGUAAUUUCAACCCUUUGUAAUGUUAACCAUUCGAAAUCU